UUUGUUGAGUAGAGUUCCAACGUUUAGCUUGUAAUCCAAAAGAUGAAAAACAUGAUGGACGAAUAUGUUUUACAGAUUGGAAUUUUAGGCCCUGUUGAGCCAAUCGUCCCAAUCUGAGUACCGAAGUGUAAAAACUCGUUCCAGUCAUUCACAGUGAAUUGAUCCCUUCUGGAUUAAGCAAAAGCAAAAUCCUUGUGGAAUUAUAUGAGUUUGGUGAAGGUCACAAAAUAUAUUUGAUGCUACCAUUUUCGACGGGUGAAUAACGAGAUAACGAAGCGAACAAUAUGGGGUUGUUAUACACGAAGGCCGAAUAGUUAUGUAUCUAAAUAUCACAGAAAUCUUUAAUUUUAUUUUAUUUUUUAAUAAGAUACGGAUUUUUUUCAGCAUUAAAAUCAAAGCUUAAGGAAAGAGAUACAUUGAAU